rnacentral:tRNA from 1 species
AUUUAAAUAGCUUAUUAUUAGAGUUUAACAUUGAAGAUGUUAAGGAGAUUAAAGAAUCUUUAAAUU